AGUAAUGUUGGAAGCGAUGAAAAAUUUCUUAUUAUGUGGGCACUUUAGGAAUUUUGAGCUAGUGGUGCACCCUGCCAACAAUUAA
rnacentral:ncRNA from 1 species